CCUACGGGAGGCAGCAGUAGGGAAUAUUGCUCAAUGGGCGAAACCCUGAAGCAGCAACGCCGCGUGGAGGAUGAAGGUCUUCGGAUUGUAAACUCCUUUUGUUAGAGAAGAUAAUGACGGUAUCUAACUAUUAACCACCGGCCAACUCCGUGCCAGCAGCCGCGGUAAGACGGCGGGUGCAAGCGUUACUCGGAAUCACUGGGAGUAAAGAGCGCGUAGGCGGGAUAGCAAGUCAGAUGUGAAAUCCUAUGGCUUAACCGUAGAACUGCAGUUGAAACUGGUAUUCUAGAGUAUGGGAGAGGUAGGUGGAAUUCGUGGUGUAGGGGUGAAAUGCGUAGAGAUCAAGAGGAAUACUCAUUGCGAAGGCGACCUGCUAGAACGUAACUGACGCUGAUGCGCGAAAGCGUGGGGAGCAAACAGGAGUAGAUACCCUAGUAGUC
rnacentral:rRNA from 1 species